AAUAAUUUAUAAAUUAAAAAUUAAUAAUAUAUAAAUAUAUUAAUAACUUAUUAAUUAGAAUAAUUAAAAUAUAUUAUGCGAUAUAUUAAUUUUUCACUCGAUUUCGAUUAUCGAAGUGGCUUAUGAUGUCAGCCAAUCAGAGAGCUUGUAGGAGAAUUUUGGCGCGUUUUUGGUGAGACAGGAUCAGUCUCCUGUGAAAAGUCAUCGUGGAAGGACGUGUUAUUGUGACUCUCUGAUGUAAGUGGCUGAUCAACUACCUUCGGUGAUUCUACUACGCAAUUAUUAGCUAAUUAAUGGUCCAACUUCAAAGAUGGGAAAAAUUUCAUAACGGAUGUCAUCGUAUUUUUCAAAGAAAAGGCUUGAUUUUUCGCUCGUGUACUGUAUGUAUUUAUUCUGUUUUUAUUCGAUCACAUUUGUACGAUAUAUUUUAUACUUUUAUAAUGAACAUUUACUACAAAUAUUAAUAUUUAAAAUUAAUAAAAUAAGUCUUAAUAAGAAAUUAAAAAAAAAAUAGUAAUAUUUUCUGAAACAAAUGUUCGAUAUAAAAAAAAGGAAAAUAUUUUACUUCUUUUUUUAUAGAUCUCCCAUUAUUAUAAUACAUUUUUAUUUCCAGAUGAUUUUUGUGACCGCGCGCAAUGCGGUUGAUAGAUUCAGUGUUUGCUCUGUAAUAGUUUUUUAAUAUUUUAGAGCACAAAAGCUCUAAUUAAAUUUAUUAUAUAUUAUAUAUUAUAAUCGCGAAAUUAGAGUCAGUGCUUGUUCGCCUAUUAUAAAUUAAACAAAUAGUUAGUAGUGUUAAUAGUUUUUUAUUUAUAAUUUUUUUUUUUUAAGUAUAUUUAUUCAUAUUCGGUAUACAAUAGAGUCAGUGCUUCUCAAGGGAAUAAGACGGUCAUCCAUCACGCGAAGAGAUUUCAUUUUCUCGUAUUUGGCGAUGACAUCCUAUGGAUCACGACGGCAUGGUUCUUCGCAUCUAUUGGUGAGUCGCAUGUAUUUAUGUUCCUCCGGUCACUCAGUCAUGUCGUAGGAUGAAAGGUCCGAAUCGACACGAGUGAUUGGUUGUAUACGUAGAUUUUUGUACGAGCACAAUGAUCACGGGUAUUAAUUAUAUCCGUGAAUAGUAACAUUUCUUUUUCUUGUAUUUUAUUUAUUAGAUCAGGAUAGAUCUUCUUGCACGUCGCGUUUUUAAGAUGAUAUUGACAGUUAAUUUUAUAUUAAAUAAUAUAUUAAUAUAAUAUAAUACAUCUAAUUAUUAUGAAUGAUGUAAAUAAUUCAUUAAAGAACCAUAUAAAUAUAUAUUUCUGAAAGAAA